AUGGCGGCGGCCUCGAGCACGGGGAUAAGUGCAGGCUGGGGAUGCAGGAGAGGUGCAGCGCGGGGUUUGGAGCUCCCACGAGCUGGGAGCGGCGCAUCCGACGGUGACAGACACAGGGACGCGUUGAUCCAGGUGUGGGUGCUCAAUUCGGUCCCGUUUUGGCCGGAUCCGCGGCGGUGCUCAUCUCCGGCGAGGUGGCCUGUGACUCGCGGGACGACGAGAUCAUAA
rnacentral:rRNA from 1 species